rnacentral:sRNA from 1 species
CCGAGAACCUGCGCAAGCUGCGCAGCCUUGACCUCUCGUGGUGCCCACGCAUCACCGACAUGGCGCUGGAGUACGUGGCCUGCGACCUGCACCGCCUAGAGGAGCUCGUGCUCGACAGGUGCGCGCCCCCGGGCCGCGCCGGGCGGGGCUGGGCCGGGCGGGGCUGCACGGGGCCGGGGGCGGGGGCUUCCGGCGGGGCUGGGGCUGUGGCGCGGCGGGCAGAGCCCUCGGAGCCUGGGGGAAGCCUGGGAAUGGGAACCGCAGCCUGGGGAGUGGGAACCGCAGAACCGCAGCACGGGUUGGCUGGACCCCCGUCCUUCCCGGUGGGUGGGAGCGAGGAGGGGCCAGCGGCUGCUCCGGGUGGGGCAGGAAGGGAUUCGCGCCAGGGGCACUCCCAGGAAGACGAGGGAUGGCCGGGGCCAGGUGAUUUGAAGGUGGGGGUCCCCUCUGGUGCAACCACAGGUGUGUACGCAUCACGGACACUGGCCUCAGCUAUCUGUCCACCAUGUCGUCCCUCCGCAGCCUCUACCUGCGAUGGUGCUGCCAGGUGCAAGACUUCGGGCUGAAGCACCUCCUGGCCCUGGGGAGUUUGCGCCUCCUGUCUCUGGCAGGCUGCCCGCUGCUCACCACCACCGGGCUGUCGGGCCUGGUGCAGCUGCAGGAGCUGGAGGAGCUGGAGCUGACCAACUGCCCCGGGGCCACCCCCGAGCUCUUCAAGUAUUUCUCGCAGCACCUGCCCCGCUGCCUCGUCAUUGAGUAGCGCGAGGCCCCCGCCCCGGUCGCGGGAACCCGGCCAUGACUUGGGCGGGGGCGCGGGGCGCCGCCGAGCCCCCUCUUCCCGCCUUGCGCUCGGGGGAGCCCCCGCGCCCCCGGCCCAGCGCGGGAGGCGGGGCGAGCCGAGGGAAAGCCCCUCCCCGACCUUCGGUCCCUCCGCCCUCCCAGCCCCGCCCCGGGCAGGGGGGCGGCGGGUGGGCCCGCCCCACGCACGCACGCACACUCGGGGACUUUGUGCAUGCCCCUCGUGCCCGCACUGCACGCCGCCCUCCGCCACGCCACAGCCACAGCCGCCGCCAUCACUCGCUCGCCCUCCCGCUUGGGGGGCGGGGCUCGGUCCUUGGGGGGGCUUUGAGCUCUCCAGACUGUGCCCUUACCGCCUUCCCCGCCACACCCGCUCUGUCUUCCCACUGUCCCCCCAUCCCGGGCAGGGCCCAGUGGGAUUGAGGGGGCUGGGUCCCCCAGGACACGGGCCCAGAAGAGCCCCACGGGCUUCCUGCAUCUUCCACCGCACCAUGCCUGGAGCCCUCCGAGGGGUGUCAGGGGAAACAGGCCACCGCCAAAGCCAUGGCCCGCCGCCGAGAGCCCAAGCCCCACCCGCACCUCCUCACCCAUCCAGCCUGACCCACGCGGCCUCUCCUCCUCCUCCUUGCCGCUGUGUGGGGCAGUCCCCUGUCCGCCCCAAAACCCGGCCUUGGUCCCUGGCCAGGCUGAGACAGAAUUGGGCAGGGAGAGGGCAGAAGGGCUGGCGAUCACUUGGAGUCAUUAACAUGAUCCCAGCUGACUCCGGUCGGCCUCAACCCAGGGGUGGCGCAGGCACCUUGCAAGCCCCGAGCUGUAGCCACCCUCAGGCCUGGGAAGAGGCCUGGGCCGACCUCACACCUCAGCCCUUGCACCCGGCCGGGCUCAGUUCAGGCCUGGGCACCGAGCUUCACCCUGGGUGGGUCUCCUCAGGUGGAGUCUGCAGAGUGGACCCAGCCAAGGGUCAGGGUCAGCACUGGGUCAGCGACUCCAAUCUUCCAGUGGCCAGCACACCCUAGACACCCCGAGGAGGGAGGGCUCCUUUCUAGCCUGCCCCCCCACCCCCACUUCACCCCUCCCCAGCUUCCCAAACUUCUGUCUGCCCAAAUGGGCUCUGACCGUGCUCUGUCGGCCCGAGACAUUUGGAAGUCCUGGGGGAUGCUGGCAAAUCUCAGCUGUUGCUGAGGAGGGGGCUGGGACCCCUUCCCAUCCCAACCUUGAGCCCCAGGAGAUACCGCGCCCACACCCAAUCUUGGGACACUCCCUAUCUGGUUGGAAGAGAGUAACCAGUUUCCAGAGAGCCAGAGAGUGAGAGAGAGAAAGAGAGUGAGAGAGAGAGAGAAAGAGAGAGAGAGAUGCUGUUGAAUCAGAAACAGAUCAACAGCCCAAAGAUUUUCCUGUCCCUGGAGUGCCAGCCCCAGGAAGCUCCAGGGCUGAGUGGUCAGGAGCCAGUUUCUCCAGCCCCUCCUCCCCACAACCCCUAGUGGGGAGGGGCAGCUGUCCAUUUGCCCAAAGUAUUAAUGCAACUGAAGCUGUGAUAUUUCCAACGACUGUAGGAGGAAAAAUUAAGGGGAGAGAGGAAAACAAAACCAACCAACCCCUAAAAUCAUUUUCUUAUUGUACAUAACGACCUCAUUCUCCUGUAUAUGCGGAAGAUAUAACCUUAUAUUUGGUAAGUGUUUCUUGUGCUAUUUUAUCACGUGACCUGUUUAUAAAAAUAUAUAUUAAAAAAGUUGUAAAAACAUG